AUGCUCCUUUUCAAAUGAAAGUUGUUCUGUUGCAAAAGUUGCUACUGUUACAUUAAAAAUACUCUAAAGGGAAACCAGGAUGUGUAAACAGUUUUAAGCAGAAGUUCAAAUAUAGGAUGGAAGUAAACCAAAUCUUGUCUGUCCACUGAUUAUAAUUUGCGGUUCAUUAGUAUGCAUCCUCAUGUUUGCAUUUGUUGUCUCUCUCUUGUGUCUCUGACUUUGUAAACAGCUGCUAUUGAGCUUCAGGCACAGUCCCAGAGGCCCCCCCUCCCCUCCCUUGCACGCAGGCAGGCAUGCCUGUGAUUGGCAGAUUGGCAGUGUCUGUUGCAGCAGUGCCUAUGGUAGAUGUGGCUGCCAGCCAGUGCAAUAAGAAAUGGCAGUUUACACUUGGGAAAAUGUGAGGUAGGGGGGGAAGGGAGUUGGCACAUAAAGAGGCACUCCUUUCACACCCUAAUAGUUGAACAGUUAGCCGCUUUUGUCUCGUUUCGUCUAAUUUGUUGUUUUAUCCCUUUUUAACAACGUCGAUUCUUUAGUAGUUAAUUCGAGUCGUUCUUUUGAUUGAGGGUGGCACCCUAAUUAACGAGGCAAAUUUCACUCAUUAGUCAUAACAGAUGCUGUGAUGUCUCUGUUUGUUCUUUCUUCCUUUGUCUUUGGCGACUGAUUGUUGAAGGAAAUCCGACUUUGUUGAUUCGGCUCAAAAGUGGUACGUCCCUCGUCGUUCGCCAGUUUUCGUGCCAGGUGAUGCCAUCAUAUUCCCACCAACGACUUUCACCGAAGUCCGUAAAUGCUAGCUGUGAGAUGAAAAUAGCAACUGUCAUCGCCAAUAUCUUCCAAGGGUAUGUCCUUUACUGCAACGACGGAGUUGGCAUGGCGUCUCCUGCCCAGAUGGCUGGCUGGCUGGCUGCCUGGCUGCCUGGCACGGAGAGCUGUGCCUCAGAUGGUUAGAGAGAGAGCAAGAAGGAGCGAGAGGGAGGAGUUUGAUAUUAUGCCACCUCCACCCCCUCAACCAUUGCUAGAACAACAAAACAGUCCACAUUUUCUGUUGUUUUAGUUUUAGAAUGUCCUUCUUCUUUCUUUAUUCCAUGUGAAGUUGCCAUGGAGAUUUUUCCUGCUCUUGUUCAUGUGCCAGCGAUCACUUCGGUGAACUUUCUGUACCUCGUCCCCUGUGCUGGUCAGAUUUUACAAUGUUGGUAAUCCACCCUUGCACUUCCAUCAUGGUGCCAUGCAGCAACAGCGUAUCCAUCUACAGGGUAGCUCAAAAACUUCACUCAGGUGUGGGUCACAUUUUGAGGUCUUCAUCAGCAGAUGUUUACUUGUUCUCCAGGCGGCAUCAAAGGAUGAAUGUGUAGGACCCAUCUUCCUUCAAACUUCUAAUAUUUAUAAGACUGCCCUCAUCCACUAAAAACUGGAAAAAUCACCAUUAGAGAAAACUCAAAGCACAUGAUUCUACCAAAAUGAUGACAGGACCUCUCCUCUGACUUGAUCUAACCAUCUACACUACAGAGCGCAGAGAAGACCGCCUUGGUGCUACCACUGAGUGGAUGGCACUGUGCCAACUUGUCUCUGCCAUCAACCGCAUUCGCUCCUUGUUUCCCUUAUUUGCCCAUCCCCUUUCUCACUCAGCCCCUCUCUUACCCACCCUCCUCCUCUCUCUAGCUUUCCUUCCACAUGCCCAGCACAGCCGCCUUCCAUCUCCCUUUUUCUUCUUCUACAGGCUUGACAUUAAUUAACAUUCGGGUUAAUUAAUUCUAAAAGCUGGUGAUUUACUCGAACAAUGCUCGUAAGCCGGCUGACGAGGUGUUUUUCGCCCUAGCUUGUAACCGCAGUGCCUGGCAUUAGCUGUGUCUCUGCAUUUUCCUCCUCUUCACUGGUCGUGGAUAUAGAAAGAGAAAUCCUCUACCCACAAUCAGCUGUACUGUUGUGCAACACAACCAGGGUUCCUAGUUGAUCUGCAUAUUCCCUCCGCAGCUCUACUUGAUGUUGCGGCUUGAGUUCUGAGUGGUUCAUUUAGCAGGCCUGGUGCUUCUUUGUCACAGUGAGGAGAGAUCAAAGAGGCUAUUUAAUGCUGAGGUCUAGGAACAACAAGAACACCCAGCUCAAGCAGUGUGCAGGGCCUGCUGUUGCAUGCAUAAGUUAUCUCUGUGGGAUCAGACCAUCCAAAGACUCUCAUCAAGAUGCGUUGCUCCCUCUCCAGGCCCCGCGACUUUCAGACUGCUCAGGUAAAUAUCCGGGUUUAAUGACGAACGGAAAGAUUAGCCAGUAACUCUCGCUCGCUAUUUGAUGAGCGCCAGGAAAUUAUACGGGCUCUUUUGGGGGUUUUCUGCUUAUUAUAUGAUCUAAUGCAGAAGCACUUUAUGAGCAUGGACCAGGGUAUGGCGAGGGCAGUAUUGAUUGCGCUCAUUGUGAAUUAUGUGAAUAGAUAAAAGUGUGAGUGUGCAUAUAUAUUAGGCAAUUAUGCGCUCAGGUGCUAAUGUAAAAAUUUUGCUGAAUAAAUAUGAAAUAUGCCUCUAUCAGCAUCCAACAUGUGUCCCCUCGACUCUGGUCAUUUGAGAUGAUAAUUGGGAUUGUGUGUUUGCCUUUUUCUGAUGAGACGAGAUAUUGUGAUAGCUCUCCUCAGCCCGGAUUUAAAUGUGUAUUGAUCGGUGUGAGGCUCAGGAGCUCAAACCAAAACAGCACAGCCCCCUCACACUUACUUGCUUAUAUAUAUUUCUUUGUUUCCCCCCCCCCCCCCCAUUAAAUUUUGAAGUUAUCUUACAAUCUUCUGACAUUGAAAAACAGUUACUGUGUCACUAAACAUAAGAAGCUCUUCUGUAUUUGUUCUCGCCCUCUUUUCCCCAGUAGAAGUGUGCUAAUGUCAUGAUUUAAAUGAAGUAUUGAUCAGUUUAGGAGGGGAGAAUAGAGAGAGAGGGAGCGAUUGUGAGGGAAAGAAAGCAAGACCAGGGUUAUCGGUGUGGAUCGCAUACAGAAAGAGAGUGCUAACGGAUGAGACACGUUUUUAGCGAUUCCGUGAAAUGGAUUUCUGCAUAAUCUGUAUUUUUAAUUCAGGAAUUACCACCGGACUCUUUAAUUUGAUUUAUUCCAAAGGAAAAAAAAAUGGACACGAAGAAAAAUCAGUGCAAUGGAUAUAGAUGUCUUUUUCAUUGUUGGGUUUUGUUAAUUUCAGGGAGUAUUUGCCAGUCCGUUUGCAGAUGGUAAAAAAAAAGGUUUGUCCUGGUUCCUAUCUGGGUUUCCAUCUUGUCUGCCUUCGGUUUCUUCUAUGACAACAACAACGCUGCUACUGCAUCAAGCGCUCUGGACUAAAGCCUCCAUCCAAGUGAUCCAGCAGCUAGCUGGACAUCCAGAGGCAAGGAUCUCUCAGUCGCUGCCUGAACUACAGGAGAGGCGUCUGGAUCUCUAAAGGAACAGAAUCACAUGCAGCAGAACCAAAAGCAGCUUUAAAGCCCGAUGCAGCAGGCCCCUGGAGCUCCAGAGUCAGGGUCCAGCACUGAUGGGAUGGCCUGGACUCUCAGCUGUGGUAAAGACCAUCCAGGUUUAUAAAGUGCCCGGCUAGGACACAUAGGACACCAGAAGAAGGCUGGCAGUGAUGGAGUCAGCGCUGAAGCUGGAAGUGCUGAUCCUGUGGAUUGAUCUGGAGAAUGUCCUGACUGGUCAGAAACCAAAGAGGCAGAGAUCAUCUCCUCCAUGAAAGGCAGUUCACCUUGAGGAGGCAGGGGGUCGGCUGCAGGCGGAGGAAAAACCAUCUCAGGAGCAGAGGGUCAACACACUGGGGCAAGACCUGGAGGCUAUUAGCAGCCAAACCACUGAGAGGAAGCAGCUACUGUAUAUCGACCAGGCCUUAGUGACACAGCAGUUGUCGGGAACCUGAUCAGUGCUCUGCUGUGCUCUGACUGAGAGAGGAGUUCUUAUAAGUACAGCAGAGGGCCCAAGGAAGAAGAGCCAAACUCCCAACGCCUGUGUGUUCAAAGCAGCCACAUGUGCUUCCAUUCUGAAGGCCCAGGAGAGCACCUAGCACCACCUGGACAUCACCUUGAUAGAGUGGUGGUCAACUUUCCAUCCCAGGGACUGACAUUUAUGUAUUACUGAUGCUAAAAAGUGUUUAAAACAUAUGAAACCUCAAACCUCAACAAGUUUCCAUAGGUAAUUUUAGAGGCUUGGAUAUGUGUCUUAUUGUCUUGAACAAAAAGCAAGUUCAUUAUUUUGUUGUUUGGGUCCAUUUUGAUAACUAAUAUGACACACUUUUGAUUUGUAUGUUUAAUUGGCAAGAUGUAAUUAAUAUUUCUAUAGUGUGUUAGGUAAGGUUUUAAACAUGGAACAAGUUGUAAUUAUAAAAGUUUAAUCAGGGUAAGUUCAGCUGUUUCAUCACUGAACAUGGGACCUUGCAUUUUUUUGUAUCAUGAUAUUUGCAUCCUCUAGUUCCUCCGGUUUGAAUAUUAGGAAUUACAUAAUUGUUUACAUUUCUUCAGUUUUAAUUACUUGUUAGUUACUUAUAUGGCAGGUUAAAGGGACCUUUAUCCAUUUUCUUACGAUGAAGUUUCUGUACAUUGAUGUGAACAAAAGAAAAUUACGUCUCUUGUGUUUUGAGUUGCAUACAGUAACCACUCCUCAAGCCAUGGAACCCACAAGCCAAUGUAGCCGAAAUCUUAAUGAACAUGGGCAGAGAGACAAGAAAUUGCAGCCAAAUAAAAGAAUAAUAAAGGCAUCUAAACCCUAACAAGUCU